ACGAACGCUGGCGGCGUGCCUAAUACAUGCAAGUCGAGCGAGCGGAACUAACAGAUUUACUUCGGUAAUGACGUUAGGAAAGCGAGCGGCGGAUGGGUGAGUAACACGUGGGGAACCUGCCCCAUAGUCUGGGAUACCACUUGGAAACAGGUGCUAAUACCGGAUAAGAAAGCAGAUCGCAUGAUCAGCUUUUAAAGGGCGGCGUAAGCUGUCGCUAUGGGAUGGCCCCGCGGUGCAUUAGCUAGUUGGUAAGGUAAAGGCUUACCAAGGCGAUGAUGCAUAGCCGAGUUGAGAGACUGAUCGGCCACAUUGGGACUGAGACACGGCCCAAACUCCUACGGGAGGCAGCAGUAGGGAAUCUUCCACAAUGGACGCAAGUCUGAUGGAGCAACGCCGCGUGAGUGAAGAAGGUUUUCGGAUCGUAAAGCUCUGUUGUUGGUGAAGAAGGAUAGAGGUAGUAACUGGCCUUUAUUUGACGGUAAUCAACCAGAAAGUCACGGCUAACUACGU
rnacentral:rRNA from 1 species